GUUGAACGCUGGCGGCAGGCCUAACACAUGCAAGUCGAGCGGAUGAAGGGAGAUAGCUUCUGGCUUCAGCGGCGGCCGGGUGAGUAAUGCCUAGAAAUCUGCCUGACAGUGGGGGAACACGUCCGGUACCGGGCGCUAAUAGCGCAUAAGGCCUGAGGGUGCCGGAUGGGGGCACUCUGUCCCAAGACAUUCAGAUGAGACCAGGUCGGAUUUGAUAGGUGGUGGGGUAAGGGCCUCCCGAGGGGACGAUCCGUACCGACUCUGAGGGGGUGAACAAGCACACUGGAACUGAGGCACGGUCCAGACUCCUGCGGGAGGCAGCAGUGGGGAAUAUUGGGCGAUGGGCGAAAGCCUGAUCCAGCCAUGCCGCGUGUGUGAAGAAGGUCUUCGGAUUGGAAAGCACUUUAAGUUGGGAGGAAGGGCAGUAAGUUAAUACCUUACUGUUCUGACGUUACCAACAGAAGAAGCACCGGCUAACUUCGUG
rnacentral:rRNA from 1 species